UGGGUGUCUCUUAUUAUUCCAAUAAUUUUUUGAAUAAUUUCGACGAAUUGCUAUGGUUAACAGUUGAAGGGAAUCUAAAAUUCUGAAGGAAGAACCAAUCGAGGACGUGCAAAUGGCAAUUGCCGACCGUUAAGACAGCUAUACGAGUGUUAUGGUUUUGAAGAGAAUAUCUUGAAGCAUGACAAUGAAGUAUAUACUUUCAAGCUUUCACAAUGGAGAAACUUUCCGGCGAAAGGAUCUGUAAGUUUUAAUUCUAAAUUUUUUUUAAAUGUGAUGGAAGAAAGUUUUCAGAAAGUUUUUAAGAUUUCAUUCAUAGUCUCUUGGAAUUAGAAAAUUGGAAAAAUCGAAUAAAAACAUCACAAGAUACGACUUAAAAAUUAACAAUCGAUCAAACGUAGAUAACGCUUACAUAUUUAAAACAGGGAAUUCGAAAUAUUGUUUAUCAUUUAAAUUGAGAAAUCCCUCCAAAAAGAAAAAAAGAAGAAAAAUCGUACGCAAACUCUUCCAAAAUUUAAACUCCAUUCGAUUCCAUCAUCGUAUGAAUCAGCAAAAUCUAAUCCAACGAUAUUAAUCGACACGACGAGACGAAUCACCAUUCACCUCGAACACCUCUCUCUCUCUCUCUUUCUCUCUUUCUCUCUCUCUCUCUCCUCCGCGUUGGAAACGAGAAAGAAAGAAAAGGAAAAGAAAAAAAAAAGAAAUAUUCGACUUACGUCAUCUCUGUCCUCGCGGAGAUCGUCGUCAGCGCUCUCCUCGAGGACGAAGCCCACGUCGUUGUUGUUCCUGGUGAGUGAGGGCAACUUCCUGGGUGUCAGCUCCUCGCCGUCCGUGUCUCUCUUGCGCUUGCCACCGUCCCUGUGCUCGUUCAGCGUGGUCUCGUGCUCGUCCAACAUGUCGGUGACCAUCAGUUCCGACUCGACGCUCGUCGGGGAUACGACUUCGUCCAGCGGUGACAUGGUCGACCUGUCGGCUUCACCGGCCUCCAGCACGGACAUGAUGGGCCACUUUUCCCGCCGCGGAUGCCUCCUCGAUGGUCACGAUCACCAGAAUUCGCGGACAGUCGGGCCUCGUCUUCGACAAGACGAGAGGUGGCAACGAGGCACCUCCACUCUUCAAAAUUCAUCAAUUUAUCUCCUCCAAUCCUUCCUCCAUCGUUCCUCGCCACGAUUUAAAAAAAAAACAAGGAAAAUCGUUCUUGUUCGAGAAACAAAUCGUACAACCGCUUUCCUCGAAAGCAGAAAAAAAGAAAAGUACACGACCUCCUCCCAUACCCAAUCUCUCCCUCCUCGUCUCUCAAACGAAGACAUUCCACUGUGAAAUCGUAAAUACACAAAGCCAAUUCCCUCCCCGCUUUAUCGUUGGAGCGCAAUCGCGAAACGAUCUCGGAUCGAUACGGCGAGCAGCAGGCCGAGUGGGACGAGAACGAAGAAAAAGAAAUCUCGCGCGCUUGAGCAAAGAAGAGAG